rnacentral:rRNA from 1 species
GGGUUGUGAGGUUAAGCGACUAAGCGUACACGGUGGAUGCCCUGGCAGUCAGAGGCGAUGAAGGACGUGCUAAUCUGCGAUAAGCGUCGGUAAGGUGAUAUGAACCGUUAUAACCGGCGAUUUCCGAAUGGGGAAACCCAGUGUGAUUCGUCACACUAUCAUUAACUGAAUCCAUAGGUUAAUGAGGCGAACCGGGGGAACUGAAACAUCUAAGUACCCCGAGGAAAAGAAAUCAACCGAGAUUCCCCCAGUAGCGGCGAGCGAACGGGGAGCAGCCCAGAGCCUGAAUCAGUGUGUGUGUUAGUGGAAGCGUCUGGAAAGGCGUGCGAUACAGGGUGACAGCCCCGUACACAAAAAUGCACAUACUGUGAGCUCGAUGAGUAGGGCGGGACACGUGGUAUCCUGUCUGAAUAUGGGGGGACCAUCCUCCAAGGCUAAAUACUCCUGACUGACCGAUAGUGAACCAGUACCGUGAGGGAAAGGCGAAAAGAACCCCGGCGAGGGGAGUGAAAAAGAACCUGAAACCGUGUACGUACAAGCAGUGGGAGCACGCUUAGGCGUGUGACUGCGUACCUUUUGUAUAAUGGGUCAGCGACUUAUAUUCUGUAGCAAGGUUAACCGAAUAGGGGAGCCGAAGGGAAACCGAGUCUUAACUGGGCGUUAAGUUGCAGGGUAUAGACCCGAAACCCGGUGAUCUAGCCAUGGGCAGGUUGAAGGUUGGGUAACACUAACUGGAGGACCGAACCGACUAAUGUUGAAAAAUUAGCGGAUGACUUGUGGCUGGGGGUGAAAGGCCAAUCAAACCGGGAGAUAGCUGGUUCUCCCCGAAAGCUAUUUAGGUAGCGCCUCGUGAAUUCAUCUCCGGGGGUAGAGCACUGUUUCGGCAAGGGGGUCAUCCCGACUUACCAACCCGAUGCAAACUGCGAAUACCGGAGAAUGUUAUCACGGGAGACACACGGCGGGUGCUAACGUCCGUCGUGAAGAGGGAAACAACCCAGACCGCCAGCUAAGGUCCCAAAGUCAUGGUUAAGUGGGAAACGAUGUGGGAAGGCCCAGACAGCCAGGAUGUUGGCUUAGAAGCAGCCAUCAUUUAAAGAAAGCGUAAUAGCUCACUGGUCGAGUCGGCCUGCGCGGAAGAUGUAACGGGGCUAAACCAUGCACCGAAGCUGCGGCAGCGACGCUUAUGCGUUGUUGGGUAGGGGAGCGUUCUGUAAGCCUGCGAAGGUGUGCUGUGAGGCAUGCUGGAGGUAUCAGAAGUGCGAAUGCUGACAUAAGUAACGAUAAAGCGGGUGAAAAGCCCGCUCGCCGGAAGACCAAGGGUUCCUGUCCAACGUUAAUCGGGGCAGGGUGAGUCGACCCCUAAGGCGAGGCCGAAAGGCGUAGUCGAUGGGAAACAGGUUAAUAUUCCUGUACUUGGUGUUACUGCGAAGGGGGGACGGAGAAGGCUAUGUUGGCCGGGCGACGGUUGUCCCGGUUUAAGCGUGUAGGCUGGUUUUCCAGGCAAAUCCGGAAAAUCAAGGCUGAGGCGUGAUGACGAGGCACUACGGUGCUGAAGCAACAAAUGCCCUGCUUCCAGGAAAAGCCUCUAAGCAUCAGGUAACAUCAAAUCGUACCCCAAACCGACACAGGUGGUCAGGUAGAGAAUACCAAGGCGCUUGAGAGAACUCGGGUGAAGGAACUAGGCAAAAUGGUGCCGUAACUUCGGGAGAAGGCACGCUGAUAUGUAGGUGAAGUCCCUCGCGGAUGGAGCUGAAAUCAGUCGAAGAUACCAGCUGGCUGCAACUGUUUAUUAAAAACACAGCACUGUGCAAACACGAAAGUGGACGUAUACGGUGUGACGCCUGCCCGGUGCCGGAAGGUUAAUUGAUGGGGUCAGCGCAAGCGAAGCUCUUGAUCGAAGCCCCGGUAAACGGCGGCCGUAACUAUAACGGUCCUAAGGUAGCGAAAUUCCUUGUCGGGUAAGUUCCGACCUGCACGAAUGGCGUAAUGAUGGCCAGGCUGUCUCCACCCGAGACUCAGUGAAAUUGAACUCGCUGUGAAGAUGCAGUGUACCCGCGGCAAGACGGAAAGACCCCGUGAACCUUUACUAUAGCUUGACACUGAACAUUGAGCCUUGAUGUGUAGGAUAGGUGGGAGGCUUUGAAGUGUGGACGCCAGUCUGCAUGGAGCCGACCUUGAAAUACCACCCUUUAAUGUUUGAUGUUCUAACGUUGACCCGUAAUCCGGGUUGCGGACAGUGUCUGGUGGGUAGUUUGACUGGGGCGGUCUCCUCCUAAAGAGUAACGGAGGAGCACGAAGGUUGGCUAAUCCUGGUCGGACAUCAGGAGGUUAGUGCAAUGGCAUAAGCCAGCUUGACUGCGAGCGUGACGGCGCGAGCAGGUGCGAAAGCAGGUCAUAGUGAUCCGGUGGUUCUGAAUGGAAGGGCCAUCGCUCAACGGAUAAAAGGUACUCCGGGGAUAACAGGCUGAUACCGCCCAAGAGUUCAUAUCGACGGCGGUGUUUGGCACCUCGAUGUCGGCUCAUCACAUCCUGGGGCUGAAGUAGGUCCCAAGGGUAUGGCUGUUCGCCAUUUAAAGUGGUACGCGAGCUGGGUUUAGAACGUCGUGAGACAGUUCGGUCCCUAUCUGCCGUGGGCGCUGGAGAACUGAGGGGGGCUGCUCCUAGUACGAGAGGACCGGAGUGGACGCAUCACUGGUGUUCGGGUUGUCAUGCCAAUGGCACUGCCCGGUAGCUAAAUGCGGAAGAGAUAAGUGCUGAAAGCAUCUAAGCACGAAACUUGCCCCGAGAUGAGUUCUCCCUGACUCCUUGAGAGUCCUGAAGGAACGUUGAAGACGACGACGUUGAUAGGCCGGAUGUGUAAGCGCAGCGAUGCGUUGAGCUAACCGGUACUAAUGAACCGUGAGGCUUAACCUUACAACGCCGAAGGUGUUU